AAGUCGUAACAAGGUUUCUGUAGGUGAACCUGCGGAAGGAUCAUUAGCGAGAGCCUGCCGCAGACUCGUGCGAGUCUGUGCGCAUGCGCGCCAUCCUUGUGUUGUGUGUGACGUGUUGUGUGCGCAAUGCCACUGUUGCCAAGGUGGCAGUGGCGUCUGCGCAUGCGCAUUUUUUUCACUCCAUUUCAUCGCAUUUAUUCUAAUUACUGCUGCUCGCAUGAGCACAAACAACCGAAAACUGCCAGCAAUGGAUCACUCGGUUCUC
rnacentral:misc_RNA from 1 species